UAGCGCGGUGGUCCCACCUGACCCCAUGCCGAACUCAGAAGUGAAACGCCGUAGCGCCGAUGGUAGUGUGGGGUCUCCCCAUGUGAGAGUAGGGAACUGCCA
rnacentral:rRNA from 2 species